UUCCUUAUAGACUGGGAGCUCGCUC
rnacentral:piRNA from 1 species